UGUGAGCUCAGUAAUCACCCUGCAAAUAUCUUUUUCCCCCCUUCAAAAAAAAAAAAAAAAAAAAAAAAAAAAAAA
rnacentral:ribozyme from 1 species